rnacentral:RNase_P_RNA from 20 species
AGCGGUGAUUCCUACGAUUAAGAAACCUGUUUGCAAAAGGGCCCGCUCACGCGGGUCAUCCUAUUUAUCAGGUGGGAAAUUCGGUGGAACACAGUGGAGCCUUGCCUUCCGGGUCAUUGUCUCUGGCAGUGGCCCCUGCUCGUGAGAGAAGAAACUUGCUGGGGAACCAGUCUUUACCGACCGUUGCUAUCAGAAAUUGAACGGGGUCCGGUCCCGCCGGGCCCCGAUGGGAACGGCAACGGUUGUUCCGUUUGACUUGUCGCCUGCCACGGCGCGCUACAAGGUCUGUUGAGUGCAAUCGUAGGACGCCAUUCGUGGCGAACCCGAUACCGAUUACUGCUGCUGCU